GACGAACGCUGGCGGCGUGCUUGACACAUGCAAGUCGAACGGAAAGGCCUGCUUUCCCUUGUGGAUUGCGGGUACUCGAGUGGCGAACGGGUGAGUAACACGUGAGUGAUCUGCCCCCAACUUGGGUAUAAGCCUGGGAAACUGGGUCUAAUUCCCGAUAGGACUGCAGGGUGGUGCCUGUGGUGGAAAACGAUUUUCUAGUGGUUGGGGAUGAGCUCGCGGCCUAUCAGCUUGUUGGUGGGGUAAUGGCCUACCAAGGCGGCGACGGGUAGCCGGCCUGGGAGGGUGGACGGCCACAUUGGGACUGAGGUACGGCCCAGACUCCGACGGGAGGCAGCAGUGGGGAAUAUUGCACAAUGGGCGGAAGCCUGAUGCAGCGACGCCGCGUGGGGGAUGACGGCCUUCGGGUUGUAAACUCCUUUCGACCGCGAGGAAGCCACCUGGUUGGAAGGGUGGUGACGGUAGUGGUAGAAGAAGCACCGGCUAACUACGUG
rnacentral:rRNA from 1 species